GUCAAUUACAAGUGAAUUAGAGUAGUUUCCAAUUUGAAUGAGCCAGUUUUGGUCAUAUUUGAAAUCUCAAUUUGCGUACUGAAUAAGUUUGAAAACUAAAUUUGAGUUUGUUUGUAAACAUUUUUAAACGUACGCUGACAAGCUUUAACAAACUAAAUUCUGAGCUUUUCAUUUAUUGUAUGUUGGUCAUGGUUCACACUAACGCUUAUUGCUU
rnacentral:misc_RNA from 1 species